GGGGGUGACUGGUUUCGACAGGUCGUGAUCCAGGUGCACGGUGCAGGCGGGGGUUGGACGGAUGGCCCCCUUAUCAAUCCGCCCACAUCAAACUGCCAACGAUAACUUCGAACUGGCUCUCGCUGCCUAGGGCAACCUAGGCUCCGAGCGAGUCCCCGGGAUCUCUGGGUACCGGGCUCGUUAAACCCCUGAAAGGGUGGCUUCGGCCUGCCGGACAGGGGCACCAGAUAGGCCGCCGCGACGCACCCUGACGGUGGCCGAGAUCAGGGGGCAAACGUUCCGAGCGGCUCGUCCGUUCCCCGCCGGAAGGUUUCAAGAACGGACCAAGCCUGUGGAACGAACCGCCAUCCGGCAUGUCUUGGACGUGGGUUCGACUCCCACCACCUCCACCA
rnacentral:tmRNA from 1 species